UACAGGGGGGGCAAGCGUUGUUCGGAAUUACUGGGCGUAAAGGGCUCGUAGGUGGCCAACUAAGUCAGACGUGAAAUCCCUCAGCCUAACUGGGGAACUGCGUCUGAUACUGGAUGGCUUGAGUUUGGGAGAGGGAUGCGGAAUUCCAGGUGUAGCGGUGAAAUGCGUAGAUAUCUGGAGGAACACCGGUGGCGAAGGCGGCAUCCUGGACCAACACUGACACUGAGGAGCGAAAGCCAGGGGAGCAAACGGG
rnacentral:rRNA from 1 species